CCCCCUCCUACGGGUUUUUGACCCCCCAUGAGAGUUUUGAUCUGCUCAGAUUGAACGCUGGCGGCAGGCCUAACACAUGCAAGUCGAGCGGUAGAGAGAAGCUUGCUUCUCUUGAGAGCGGCGGACGGGUGAGUAAUACCUAGGAAUCUGCCUGAUAGUGGGGGAUAACGUUCGGAAACGGACGCUAAUACCGCAUACGUCCUACGGGAGAAAGCAGGGGACCUUCGGGCCUUGCGCUAUCAGAUGAGCCUAGGUCGGAUUAGCUAGUUGGUGAGGUAAUGGCUCACCAAGGCUACGAUCCGUAACUGGUCUGAGAGGAUGAUCAGUCACACUGGAACUGAGACACGGUCCAGACUCCUACGGGAGGCAGCAGUGGGGAAUAUUGGACAAUGGGCGAAAGCCUGAUCCAGCCAUGCCGCGUGUGUGAAGAAGGUCUUCGGAUUGUAAAGCACUUUAAGUUGGGAGGAAGGGCAUUAACCUAAUACGUUGGUGUCUUGACGUUACCGACAGAAUAAGCACCGGCUAACUCUGUGCCAGCAGCCGCGGUAAUACAGAGGGUGCAAGCGUUAAUCGGAAUUACUGGGCGUAAAGCGCGCGUAGGUGGUUUGUUAAGUUGAAUGUGAAAUCCCCGGGCUCAACCUGGGAACUGCAUCCAAAACUGGCAAGCUAGAGUAUGGUAGAGGGUAGUGGAAUUUCCUGUGUAGCGGUGAAAUGCGUAGAUAUAGGAAGGAACACCAGUGGCGAAGGCGACUACCUGGACUGAUACUGACACUGAGGUGCGAAAGCGUGGGGAGCAAACAGGAUUAGAUACCCUGGUAGUCCACGCCGUAAACGAUGUCAACUAGCCGUUGGGAGUCUUGAACUCUUAGUGGCGCAGCUAACGCAUUAAGUGACCGCCUGGAGACCCCCACC
rnacentral:rRNA from 1 species